GACAGAGGUGCCGAGCGUUAGGCGGAAUCACUGGGCUUAAAGCGUGUGUAGGCGGGCGGGCAAGUACCUUGUGAAAUCCCACGGCUCGACCGUGGAACUGCUGGGUAUACUGCCUGUCUUGAGCCAGCCAGGGGCAGUCGGAACAGACGGUGGAGCGGUGAAAUGCGUAGAUAUCGUCUGGAACGCCAAAGGUGAAAACAGACUGCUGGGGCUGUGCUGACGCUGAGACACGAAAGCCAGGGGAGCGAACGGG
rnacentral:rRNA from 1 species